AACGAACGCUGGCGGCAUGCCUAACACAUGCAAGUCGAACGGGUACCUUCGGGUGCUAGUGGCGCACGGGUGCGUAACGCGUGGGGAUCUGCCCUUGGGUACGGAAUAACUCAGCGAAAGCUGUGCUCAUACCGGAUGAUGUCGAAAGACCAAAGAUUUAUCGCCCGAGGUUGCGCUCGCGUUGGAUUAGCUAGCUGGUGGGGUAAAGGCCUACCAAGGCGACGAUCCAUAGCUGGGCUGUGAGGAUGAUCCGAGACACUGGGACUGAGACACGGCCGAGACUCCUACGGGAAGGAGCAGUGGGGAAUAUUGGACAGUGGGCGAAAGCCUGAUCCAGCAAUGCCGCUUGAGUGAUGAAGGCCUUAGGGUUGUAAAGCGCUUGUACCCGGGAUGAUAAUGACAGUACCGGGAGAAUAAGCUCCGGCUAACUCCGUG
rnacentral:rRNA from 1 species